UACGUAGGGUGCAAGCGUUAAUCGGAAUUACUGGGCGUAAAGCGUGCGCAGGCGGUUCGGAAAGAAAGAUGUGAAAUCCCAGAGCUUAACUUUGGAACUGCAUUUUUAACUACCGGGCUAGAGUGUGUCAGAGGGAGGUGGAAUUCCGCGUGUAGCAGUGAAAUGCGUAGAUAUGCGGAGGAACACCGAUGGCGAAGGCAGCCUCCUGGGAUAACACUGACGCUCAUGCACGAAAGCGUGGGGAG
rnacentral:rRNA from 1 species